rnacentral:lncRNA from 1 species
ACACUUUAUUGUUUCUAUGACCCAUUUGUCAUAGAGUCAAAUUUUUUGCCAAUUUUUGUUAAAGUUUGGCAUUUGUUUUUUCAGCUACACUUUAUGGUUUGCCACACUUUGAUGGUUUGCCACACUUUGACUUGACAAAAUUAGUCUCCAACCAAACAGACCCAUAAUAAUAUAUAAGGAUGAUAACGCGUCGAUUUUUAUACCGCAGAUCAGAUGCUUGUGUCGUGUGCAUGUUCCGUACGGACAACAGG